rnacentral:rRNA from 1 species
UAUUCCCUCUGGCGGCGUGCCUAAUACAUGCAAGUCGAGCGAACAGACGAGGAGCUUGCUCCUCUGACGUUAGCGGCGGACGGGUGAGUAACACGUGGAUAACCUACCUAUAAGACUGGGAUAACUUCGGGAAACCGGAGCUAAUACCGGAUAAUAUAUUGAACCGCAUGGUUCAAUAGUGAAAGACGGUUUUGCUGUCUCUUAUAGAUGGAUCCGCGCCGCAUUAGCUAGUUGGUAAGGUAACGGCUUACCAAGGCAACGAUGCGUAGCCGACCUGAGAGAGUGAUCGGCGACACUGGAACGGGAACACGGUCCAGGCGCCUACGAGAGGGAGCAGUAGGGAAUCUGCCGCAGUGGUGGGAAGCAUUACGGAGCAACGCCGCGUGAGUGGUGAAGGUCUUCGGAUCGUAAAACUCGGUUAUGAGGGAAGAACAAAUGUGUAAGUAACUAUGCACGUCUUGACGGUACCUAGUCAGAAAGCCACGGCUAACUACGUG